rnacentral:rRNA from 1 species
AGGGCACCACCAGGAGUGGAGCCUGCGGCUUAAUUUGACUCAACACGGGAAAUCUCACCAGGCCCGGACACUGGAAGGAUUGACAGAUUGAGAGCUCUUUCUUGAUUCAGUGGGAGGUGGUGCAUGGCCGUUCUUAGUUGGUGGAGCGAUUUGUCUGGUUAAUUCCGGUAACGAACGAGACUCUGGCCUACUAACUAGACGUUAGAUCCUUUAUGGGUUUGACGAUGCUUCUUAGAGGGACGGGCGGCUUUUAGCCGCACGAGAAUGAGCAAUAACAGGUCUGUGAUGCCCUUAGAUGUUCUGGGCUGCACGCGCGCUACACUGAAGAAAUCAGCGUGUGUUCCCUAUCCGAAAGGUUUGGGAAACCCGUUGAACCUUCUUCGUGAUGGGGAUUGGGGAUUGUAAUUAUUCCCCAUGAACGAGGAAUUCCCAGUAGGCGCGAGUCAUAAGCUUGCGUCGAUUACGUCCCUGCCCUUUGUACACACCGCCCGUCGCUACUACCGAUCGAGUGAUUUAGUG